UACAGAGGUCUCAAGCGUUGUUCGGAUUCAUUGGGCGUAAAGGGUGCGUAGGUGGCGCGCUAAGUCAGGUGUGAAAUUUCGGAGCUUAACUCCGAAACUGCAUUUGAUACUGGUGUGCUUGAGGACUGGGAGAGGAGACUGGAAUUCAUGGUGUAGCAGUGAAAUGCGUAGAGAUCAUGAGGAAGACCAGUGGCGAAGGCGGGUCUCUGGACGGUUUCUGACACUAAGACACGAAAGCGUGGGGAGCAAACAGG
rnacentral:rRNA from 1 species